UCAUUUAUUUUUAUUACAUGGCUUACUUGGGUAUUAGAGCAAAGGUUUCAAUUUCAAAUAAUUAGACAUUCAAAUAAUAUAAUUUUUAUUAUUUCAGAUAUCAUUUCAAUGUGCUAAAAGACCUCUAAAAGCACAAAAUAUGCCCUUGGAAAAUGUUAUGUUAUUACACAACGGAUGUAACUACUUCUGUUGUUAAUGAUAAACAUUUACCUAUAUAAUAUAAUAUAUGAAUUCACAAAUAUACAGGUGAAAUUCAUUAUAUACUGCAGUCGAUGCAGUGUAAUCCUGUUCAUAACACUUCUACCAAGUACCAGGUGCAAAACAAGUCGGGGCAACAUUCGCUGGGAGCACGACGGCGGCCACCAGAGAAG